UGGAAUCUUAAUGGAGUUUAGAAGAAAUUCCAUGUUGGCAUUUUUCCAUCCAGAGAGCUCAUUCUUCAUUCUUUCCUUUUUUCUCAAAGUUUUUUUCCCUUAGAUUCUUUGUGUGUGUUUGGGUUGCGGAGUGAAGGGGUAGAAAACAACUUCUUUCCCCAAUAAAUUUGCCUCUUUAUUACUGUGUAUUGAUGUUUUAUGUGAGCAAUAGUUAUUCAUGUAUUUAAUCUUGGAAUUUUCCAACAUACUAAACACUGUAAUUCAUUCUAAUAAUUUUCCCAAUUGAUUCCUUUGAGUUAUAAAGAUAAGCAUAAUAUCUGAAAACAAUAGCUUUAUCUACCAUCUGCAAAUAGUUCAACUUUGGCCUCUUCUUAUUUUUUUGCAUUAAUUAAAGACUCCAAAAUUAUAUACUUCCCUCAAAUUUUAAGUCAUUCAUCCACAAAACUUUCUAAACCAACUGCCUUUUGGAGGAUAUUUUGACAUUUUUCAAAUUCGUACUUUGUUCAUUUUCUGUUCAGGUUUUUAAUUUUAUCUUGAAUCAGUUCAAAAAUUAAUUCAAAAAAUGGAAACAUUUGUUAUAAUUUUUAAGCAAAAUCUCCAGUUCAUUAUUAUUUUAGAAUUUAUUGCUAUUAUCAUUUUAUUCUACUUGAAACAAAUGGAUAUUAUCUGUAUAUAAUUUAUAACAAGGAUUUUUAAACUUGUAAUGUGUGAAUGUUAAGAAGUUACAGAAAAAGAAAAAAAAGUUUCUCUGAUUAACAAAUAUUUGGGAAACCUCUGCUUAAUCCAAGUAUAAAAUUUAUUUUCUGAAGAAUAUUUGGAACAAGAAUUUACAUGUUAAUAGAUGCUUUUUAUUAUUUUGGGGUUAUGGAAGAUUCUGGAAACUUAUUUCAUGAAAGAACUCUCAUUGAUGGGCAUAAGCUACACCAAACACUUUGAGGAAUCCUGAUUACCAAAUAUCCACUGGUGACAGGUCACACAGGCCAUCUGUACAUUCCCUGUUAUACCAGAUUUCUCUCUCUCCUCUCUUUUUCUUUCUCUCCCCCUAUCUUUCCUUCAGGUACUCUUCUUAUAUUAAGUGUCCCCUGAAGUAUAAUGGAAAUAAGAUUUUUUUUCUGGGUUAAAUGAGAGCACACAGUAUUAAUAAUAGCUGAUAGUUGCUGUGCUUUGAGAGUAAUGUGGGGGGUGACAGUGCAGAGAAGAGAAAAGAAAAGUAGGUUGAGCCAAGGAAGGGCAAUCAUCUGGAGGGUAAUUUCUCUUCUCCAAGGCUUUCUGUUUUUGUGCUCAAGAAAUUCAGCAUUGUCAGUGUGAUCCUCCUCCACCUUUUCUUGGAACAGCAUAAUCUCACUUCUUGAAAAAUGAAAUUUCUCUGCUGCCAUGCAACAUCUUUGUGCAAAUGAACGAAGGCUGAAAAUACAGAGCUGGAAUAUUUCCCAGAUGUAUUGUGGGGGGAAAAUUAUAUAAAAUAUACUCCCUCAGAACAAAUUGUCAAAAAUAAAUUUUAUAUAUUAAAUAACUAUAAGAAUAAUGAUGGGAAAAAGACUUCAUCAAAUAAAUGUACUGCUAAUUAUACUUCUGUAAAAGGCGACUUAAAACAAUCUAGUUUGCUUAAUAAAAAAACAACUCUGCUCAUCAACUGUCUCUAUCAAAUUCUUCCUUAACAAAUAAAUUCCAAAAUUCAUAAUUUUCAUAGCAAGUCAAAAUUCCUUUAAAACAAAUGCUUGCGAAAAGAUUAUAGUCUUUUUGUAUUUGAAUCUGUAUUUUAUAAUUAAAGGUUUCUCAUAGUAUUUAAUAUAAUAGUAAGCAAUCUCUUAGAAGUUGAAGACAAUUUUUUUUUAAAAAGUAAGUGCUAAUGAUACAUUCCUUUCAUACAAUGAACUGAUGUAUAAUUGUAUUACUCCUUGUUUUCCACAUGAAAAGAAAGAUGAUUGGUAGUUGAUUGGUGGAGUGAAGUGAAAGGAGUUAAUUUCUAGGGCAUAGGUACUGAUGGUGGAGAGAAAUAUGUCCUCAUGUGUAUAAGUGGCUUAUCAUUUGUUACUGAUAGAUAAUUAUUUGACUUUGAAUUUUGAACCCUCUACCAUUUUAGACCUUUCUCAAAUGAACUUCAGUUUUUCCAUUUUGUGUCUCAGAAUUUUUCAAGUUAAACCCAUUACUUUCUCCAAACUAGAUUUUUGGUUUGUUUUUUUCUGCUGUCCAUACGGUUUCUGCCCAUCUGCACUUUCAUGCUAUGUCUUUUUCCCUUUGUCAAUUAUUAACAUUUUUUCUGUCUUUCGAGACCUACCUAAAGUUCAAUAUUCUCCAUAAAGAGAUGCAUAUUCUGGAAGCCCAGUAAAAACGGAAGCAAUUGUGUGGAAGACAUAUCAGAACCUGGGAGUGUGGGAACACUGCAUUAGAACUGUAAAAAUUGGAUUCAAAUCUUGGUUCCAUCGACAAUUCAGUGAUGUUGAACAAAGAAAUGAUUAGUUCUGAUCCUCAAUUUUGCCAGUUGAUAAUUGGGGAUGCAAAUAACUAGUACAUUAUCCCCUGUUACUGCAGAGAUUAAAUGAUAUGUUUAAGCAAGGGAUAUAAGAGCGAUUGAGAAAUGGAAAUUAUUAUGCAUAUGUCCCACAAUCUGUUAGGUACUUUGCACACAGUAGGAACUUAGCAACUGUCACUGUCCUUUCCCCACCUCUGUUCAUCUGAAGCGACUAUGUCACCAUGCCAUCUGAUAUGUAUGUGUGUGUAUUCACACAUGUGCUUCAUAGCACCUGAUCCAAUAUAAUAUACAGAAUUUUCUCUAUAAAUAUCCUGCUAAUGUUUGACUGAUUCUCAAAAUAAGAUUUGUGAAUCCUUAAAAAUGAGAGGGAAAAUAGAAAAACUAGAGAAAGUUAGAAAUGGAUCAAAUAUCCUACAAUUUGUGACAUAUUCAUGUGUUUCUCCACAUGUCUUAUUGUAGACUCCUUUAGGACAUCUAAAAGAUUGACACUAAGUCUACACAUAUUUAAUCCCCAAAGCUCCGAUUGAUUUUGGCUAAGUAGGAGCAGCCAGUUUGGGUAAGUCUGAAGCCCCACUUGGGCUAAGGGCCCAGUUUUGCUAACAGUGCACAUUCAGGGAACACUGUGAGCAAUUCUAUUUAUCUAAGAGUUCAGCCUCGUGCUUGGGCUUGCAGGUGCAGCUGUAAAUUUCAGGUGAUUUACAGAGUGGGAAGCACACCAAAUCUGAAAUUAUGAUGGAGCUCAAGGCUCACAGCAUCUUUUGUCAGAUGCUCUGGUUUUAUGAGUUUGGGUGGGUGCCACCACAUUUUUCUUCCAAGUGCAAUAAAAAAAUGAUGCCAUUCAAGCUGAAAAGCUUAACAACCACUUUACCUUUAUUGAAUCUGUAGCUAAUGUACUGAAAUAGCAGGGGUUUUGCUGCAAAUGUAAUUUGGGUUUUUGUCUGGGCAUCUCUUCAUUCCUUAAAAUUGGGUUUGUAUUGAGCACAAGUGAGUUACCUAAAAGAUCUAAAGAUAAAGACCCUGGCUUGUCCUUACCGUUGCUGACAGAUGCCCACCUAGACCCAACGAGAAGGAAGCACAGGCUUAGAAAUCAUGGAGACUAUUCCUCUAGAAGCCAUCUGCUAGACUAACUGUUGCUUUAGAUAAUUGCUUGACCUCCCCAGGGCUCAAUUUUCUUAUUAAUAAUUUGACAGAGUGGGAGUAGAUGAUCUUCAUAUUUCUUAAAGACCAGAAAUGUUCUCUUCUAAGGAAACUUGCAUGCUUAGAUUUUUAACUUUUAUUCGUUUUUUUUUUUUUUUUUUUUGACAUUCUCUUUAUGCACCUCUAAGACCCUGUUCCCAAAGUGGCACUCUCUUCCAGAGAUGAGGUAAAUUAAACACAGGUUUUUGAUCCUGAAUUAUGCUAAAAUUUUGACCCUAUUUGUUAAUCACACAGGAAACACUUACGAGCAAAUGGGAAGAAGGAAAAGCAGUACUUUUAUGAUUCUUGAGUUUUAAUAUAGCUUUUACAUAACGUUGAAUCAUAUUGCAUGUACAUUAAAGACUCAAGGAAGCCUCACUUUUUUUCUAAUCCUGUUCAGAUAUAGCUAAUGAUUUUUGAGCUCUUACUAUUGCUACUCAAUGUGCUGGGGAAUUUCACCUGCAUUAUUGAAUGUGAUUAUCACAACAACCAUAUUGAAAAUUGCACAAUAAGAAAGGAGGAGUUGUAUUCCAACUCCAAACUUCUAAUUCUGACCUAGUAGUCUUCCACAACUUCUGUUCUAUGGAAUCAAGCCUCUCAUUACCAGCAAGCAUAAACUGAAGGUAUCAUUCAGCUUACACUCCCACCAAAAUCACAGCUUCGUACCAUCCUUGAAGCCAUCUCUGCUUCAUAACAUUGUCUUACUUUCCUCCUAGACAUUCUGUAAUUCUUUUCUGACUAUGCAAAUUGUAGGCUUAUGUGAAGAUCCAAAUAAAGUCCCAAUCCCCAUCAGUAACUGUAAGUAAAAAUUAUAACAGAUUUCAUCUACUUACUUUUCUGAAUAGUUUAGUGAAUUUUGUCUGUACAACCCUUGGAUGCAUUUUGCUAUUAUCUUAUGUUAUUAUUUAUUAAAUUAGCAUUUGUCUAUACAUUCCUUUUUAUAAAAAGAUUAUUUUUCUUGCCAUGUAGUACAUUCAUAAUAAUUAUUUAUUAAUCUGUUCAUACAAAAAGAAUUUCAACUUUCCUGGUCCUGAAAUAUGCAAAUAUGAUAAGGCACUCUUAACUCUUUCAGAACUCAAAGUGUGGAGUGAGAUAUACAAACACUCGAAACAAAUACACUUAAAUAUUACAAAGUCUAAUUCAGGACUAAACUUGACUUAAAUAUUAUUAUAAGAACAGGUGUGGAAAGGAGCUUGUGAUUAGGAUAGUAGGUUUAGAGGACACAUCAAUGCAGAGGCUAGAAAUUAAUUGAAAAGUGACCUUUCUUUCAGACAGGGAAGAAUUGUUAUAUUAGAAAAAAACAGUAUAUUCAAACAGGCACAAGUAUGGGUUAUUCUAGGAAAAGGGCCUGAUUCUGUGUACUAGAGCAGGUAGAAUAUAGAGAGAUGAGACUGACUUUAUAACUUGGUACCUGUCAAAAGUUUUAUGCUAUGCUGAAAAGUUUGGACUUGAUAUUGGGAGACAUAUUUUUCAGUUUUGUUUUUUGGUUAGCAGAGGUUUGAUGCAAUCACAUUUGGUGUUAGAUAGAUAACGCUGGGUACAGUGUGGAGAAUAAAUGGGGAGGGGCUAUUGUCGCUAUCAUAGCUGUGGUGAAGAAAGUGAGGUAAAAAUUGAUUCAAGAGAUGUUCAAGAAAUAUAAUCAACAGAACUCAAUUGAAUUGAAAUGGGCUCUUGGUCCCUCUAGAUUGUUUUUCCUUUCUUUUUCUUUUCUUUUUAAAUACAAGUCUGCCCUUAUUUCAAGAUCUAAAUUGUUGAGAGCACCUGCCACCAUCUAAGUAGAAGUCAAUUGCUUUCUUGCUGACUUCUUUUUUAAGAACAAAUCAAACUCUCGUCCUUGCCCUUUAGAUAUUAGAGUUAUCUUUGGAUGAGAACACUGCUUAGUUGUGGAAGAAUUGUCAAGAAAAUGAUGCCCAUAUAUGUAUUUAAAAGUUACCUCCCUAUGGUACUACUUAAAAUAGGCUAAAUGGCAAAUCUGUGGAUAGAAAAAAAAAUGUACCAAUUUCAAAGAAGAAAGAUCUUGAAAGUUGUAUUUGAAACUCUCUUUCACAGUGUAUAUUAGGCAUACAAUAUAUCACAAAAGGUGUUAAGGUAAAUUCCAGAUUGUCAUUUUCCAGAGGGCAAAGAAACAACACAUACAGAAUUGUGUUUUUCUGUAAGAACAAAUGCAUUUCUCAUACUACAGUAGAUCCUACAUCCUAAUCUACUAUGUGUGAUGUCUAAGGAAAUUUGUUCUCUCAAUGCCAAAAUGUUUGUUGCCUUUUCCUCCCAGUUGUGGAUAUUGUUUAAAAUUCAUAUGCCUCUGCCACUUCUCAAAAUUUCAGUUGCUCAUUUUUCUGUUCUUUAAAAGGUUUUUAAUACUUAAGAAAUCAUUUAUCAUGGUCUCUUCCUUCAGUAGCAGUCACUCUGAGUUGGCAAUCUUACAGAUUUUAUAAUCCCCUUCUUUCCUGGCAACGAAUUCUUGAUUUUGUUCAGAAAUGCAAUUACAUUACGAGAAGAUGAACUAUGAUUACUGUAAAGCAGUAGUGGUAGAACAUUAUCCACUGUUAGAAAUUUACUUUUGUAGUCUUCUGUGAAACUAACAUAUAGUCAUAUGAUAAGUAUGGGCAAAUGAGGGGUUAGUAUUAUUAUUUUAAAAGCCUUCUGGAAGGAUUUUGACUGUCUGAUAAUACAGAUAGUAUGCUGAGAAUCUGCUUUUACUUUUCCCUCAAUAAAUGUAUAAAUCAUUAAAUAGAGUCAUGAUACCCACUGAGGUGGUAGUCAUCUUUCAAUCAGAAGUAACAUGCACAAUGACCAAAAUACAAAGCUAUGAGGAUGGUGGAACAAAUGGGAUAAAAAAACCUGAGUUCUGAGGUGUGAACAUAAAUUACUCUCUGAGGGCAAAAAACAAACAAACAAACAAAAAUCCUGAUUUGUAGCAUUUGCCAAUUUUAAUGUAUACAUAAUCUAACUAUAGUUGAAUUUACCAAUCACAGAACAUCCAGCACACCACUGCCUGGGUCCCUUAUGACAUAAAUGAGCUACUGGGCUUGCUCUAGAUUAUCUAACUUAGAUGUCGCUACUUACUUAUUUUUAAAAAUACUUAACUAAACAUCUACUAUAUGUCAGGAGCUCUCCAAGGCAUUUGGGAUACAUCAUUGAAUGAAGUAUAAAAAAGAAAAUCCUUUUUUUUUUUUUCACAGAGCUAAAAUUCUAUAAGGGCGAGAAAGACCAUCAACAAUCAACAUAACAGAUAACUACAUUAUGUGAUAUUUUAGAAGUUGAUAGCCUCAUUAAAAAAAGAAAGAAACAGUAGAGCAGAGUAAGGAAGAUAAUAAGAAUCUAGUGGCCAGAAGAGGCAAAUUGUAGUAAUAAAUAAGAAGGUCCAGAUAGGACGCAUUGAGUCAGUGACAUUUGACCAAAAUUUUGAAAGAGAAGAAAUGUUUCACUAAUUGGAUAUCUGCGAGCGGAGCAUUCCAGGCAGAGGGGACUGCAAGAGCAAAGGCGGUUGCUCAGGAGCCUGCUUGCGGAGACAUCAGGAGCAACGUUAGCAAGAAAAAGGAGGAAAGGCAAAUAGGCAUUUACUUUAAGCAUUACAAACUAGCAAAAUGUCCCAACAAUGAAGAAAUACUUACUUUUAAGAAUAAAAUGAAGAAAAUAUGAGAUCUAAGUGAGCAACUGGGAAGUUUACUCCAACAGAUCUGAGUCAACAUUUACAAAUCCCUAUGCUACACUGAAUAGUUCAGAACUUUGGAACUUCAAGACUCUGGUACAUUCAUCAAGAAAAUAUCUCCAUCCAGGUGUCUGGAUGGGCAGUUUGCAGCUCUUCUGCAGUGGGCCAUUUGCAGCUUUUCUCAGGGGAAAGGCUACACUGUGGGGCUUCUUCAAUCUCAACACACAGAAGAGUAACUGCUAUUGAAUUCACAUUUAAAACAUAGCUAUAUUUUCCAAAUCAGUUUUCCAUGCUAUCAUUUUAUUUGCACUUCAUAAAAAUACCAUAAAGUAGAAAGGACUGAAAAGUAUCAUAUUUAACUUAGGAGGGGGUGAAGGAUACUGGUUGAGUGCAAGGGUGUUGGAGUAGGAAAGACUGAGUCUGAAUCCCAGCUUUGUCAUUUACUGUUUCUUUCUGUAAGUUAUAUAUUCUUUUUUUUUCCUCAGUUCCCCAUUUAUAAAAUAGAAAAAAUGGCACCACCUACUCAUAAGUUUGUUUUGAGAAAUACAGUGUAUGAUACCUGUUAAACACAUUGGAUAAUGCCCAGAUGUAUUAUAUAUUCAAUAAAUGAAAAUUGUUAUUUAUGUUAAUAGUAUUGCUUUUGAAUGGAAAAAUGAUACACAGAGAAGUUAAAAUGAUGUGAAAAAAGCCAAGAGCUGGUUAAUAGCAUAGUUGAAUUUAGAAGUCACUUUAAUUCCUGUAUCCCUAACCUACAAUAUUUCCCUAACCUAUGACAGUAUGUGAUUAAGUGCAAAAUAUAUAGAUAAUAAAAAGUUACAUAAAAGUUUGCAUGACAUGGACAAUCGUAUACUCCAUGUAUUCUACCUUGGAAAACCAAUGAUAAUUCUAAAUUUUACUUGAAGUUUCCUAGCUCCAUAAGCUGUUUACUAGAUAGAAAUCUUUUGUUAUGUAUUUGAAAAAUCAGAUAAUCUAAAAUGUAUCCCCUGGUUGUGACCUGAACUUCUUCGGUCUCAGUGGACAUAAAUAUUCCAAUCUUGUGUACAGUUUAUCUUUGAAUAUAAAUAAAUAUAUGGUUUCUCAUUUGUGAAUUGACCAGAUGAAGUUGUUUAGUUUUAACUAACUCUGUAACAGAAUUAUAGCCCCUAGAAUGCAUAAUAUGUUGCAUCAAAAGUACCAUUUCUUUUCAUUAUGGGAUAUCACUUACCAUCCAUGGGGGUCUUUCCCACUCAAUACAGAAAGGCCUGGGAAUUAAUUUUGACAAAAUGCCUUAAGAAAACACACACAGAAAAUAGGAGUACGUACAAGAGUUGAAUAGUAUAUGCCAAACAUACAAUAUAUUCUAAUGAUAUCACAACAAUAUACUGUUCUCAGUCUUCAAAUAGCCUCAACUAUUACAUUACUAUGGAUCUCAUGAUUUGGAGAAGAUUGCAAAGACAUGUUACUUUGGCUAGCUCUUGGAAGAUAUUUAGAGUUUAGUUGGGCAACAAAAAGCAGUCAGAACAGUCCAUGUUACUAAUUUGAUAUUCGAUGAUGUCUAAGAGUCAAUAAUGAUGACAAAUUAGUGUGUUUACAUGUGGAGCAGAUCCACAUAGUUGGAUACAAAAACCAGAUAUUACUAUGAAACUGUGUGCAGAUUAUCUUAGAAAAUAUCCUUCGUGGCUAGCUGUGCACACUAUGAUAUUCCACCCCUUGUGCCAUAGGUUAGAUGAAGGUUUGUCCUUCACUUAAAGAAUUUUGCUGUGUGUGUGCAUGUGUGUGUGCGUGUGUGUGUAUUGCUAUAGGCUCACUUAGGAGACCCCUAUAAGAAUGGAACUUAGCUAUAGUUUUUGGAUUUUAAGACUGUUCUGUUUGCACUUCUUAAUUCUGUAAAAGAGAAACCAGACUGUAAAUUGAUAAAAGGGAGAUUUAAAUAGUGACUUAAAUACAACAUCUCUUUCUACAAACUCCAGAAAUAUAAAUACACUUCCCCAGAUUUAGAAUAUUGUGAUUAAAGAGAACUAGAGAACAGAAGGAAACAGAUAUUGAGUGGGUAAUGAAUCCACAUCAAGUAAAAGAUUUGUAAAAAUAUAUUGUAAAAUUAAAAAAAAGCAUAGUAUCAGAGGAAAGGCCUGGUGUUAAUAUCUCAUAGUAUGGAAAUACUAAUAAUAUAUAAAAGAAAAACAAAAUCAAGGCAGUUGACUAAGACAGUGAUUAAUCCAGUUUUUCUAGAGGUGAUAGUUUUUCUGUUUUUUCCCUUUUUAGAAUCAAAAUAGGAAGAUCUUACUUACUAUUUACUGGUAAGUGUUUUUUGAUAAAACAUUUUGCCUCUUUAGGUUUUGAUUUACUUAUGUUUAAAUUCAGACGAGCUACAUUACUUAGACAGUGAAGUUAUUUCAACCCUACCAAUCUUAAUAAUCCAAUGUUUUGAUCUAAUUUAUGUUCUUUAUAUUCAUUCUUGUAUUCUAAAAUUCCAGGAAUGCAGAAGACUAUAAAACACAUGAAAUAUCAGGCUAAAAGACUGCAUUAUUUUUAGUUUUUUUUAAACUGAGUCACUAAGAAUCUUUCUGCACAUCACCAAUUGAUUUGAUUUUUUUUCCCAUAUCUAACUAUAUGUCACUUACCUCCAAGACGAAUGGAAUUGUUCCACUUCUCCAUCAAAAUCAUCUGGUUAAUUCACAGUUUAAAUUUCUUGCAGAGGUCUAUUGUGAGCAGUACUUUGCUUUCUGAGCUCUAGUACAAAUGCCAUCUUUUCAACAGCCAUACUCUCUGUCCUUUCCUGAAAAUUUUGCUUUGGCCUUUACUGUUCCUUAAUCUUGACAUAGGCAUUGAAAUAUGCCAAGCUGAUAGAAUACUCACUUGCUGAUUUGAUAAAAGUAUGGUCUCACCUUUUUCUUUUUAGGAAUCUUAAUAUAAUGCAAUAAUCCAGAUGUAUCAGUAAGAAGAAAGCCUUUUAGUGCUUAUAACUCCAAAUUGGAGCACGGCAUGAGGAUUUGAGUAAAGAAGCAUUGAAUUUCCCAUGACAUAAAGGAAUGUCUGCUUUACUCUUAAACGUAGAAUGACACUUAUCUGAAGUAACACAGGCAUAUAUGGAAACAGGAAAUACAUCAAUACACCCUGUGGUUUUGUGGUCUUUGUAGGGCCCAAAGCAGCUAAAUCAAUGUUGUACCAAAUAAGGCAUUCGUUGCCUGGACUAUUCUUUGUGGAGAUUUUCAGGUUGUUUGUGUGCUUAGUACAAAUAUAUUUAUAUACAGCCACAGGUAUUGGGGCUUGCUAAUUUAGGCUUUUUUUUUUUAAAUAAAGCAAGUGUUUUAUUUUCACUUUGCAAUAAAUAACAACACUUGUUUGUUCCAUUAUUUCAACUACAUUAAAAUUAAGGAAAACAGAACUAUCAUCUCUAAUUUCCACAGUGUUUGAUAUCAUUUGAUUUCUGUGCUUUCAUGGCCUGCUGGUAGUGGUUGUUGGUACUCUUGGUGCAUAGUUCCUCUCAGGUGACAGCCUGUUCUAAGGUGAGGAAGGCUUGAAUUAAAUGGCAAUUCACAGCAUCAUCAGAAAAUGCUAUCUUCAAGACCUAGCAAUCACUUUUUAUUUGCUAAUUUUACCUACAAUUGCUGUGAACUUUGUUCUUUACUCAGAGAGGUGCAUGGAAAGAGUGUUAAAAGCCAGCUGUCACUUCUGAGGUGAGAAUCAAAUGCUGAGAAAUGGUAUUGUCUUGAAAAGAUCACCCUGAAGGUCAUUGCUCUGGACUAGAUACAAUAACAAUAGAUAGUAGCAGCAAGACCUUCCUGACCGAAAGAAAAAGAAGGUUGCGCUUUGAGGAGGAGGGAAAAUAUCUCACACACGCGUGCGCGCGCACACACACACAAACACACAGUGAUAUGCAUAAAAUAAGGCAUUGAUAAGAGCAGAGGAUGCUCUGUAAAUGCAGUUUCUCUGUUAAACUGGAUUUUGUUGAAUCACAUUUGAACAAUCUAAGAGCUGAAAAUGAGUAUCUUAUUCACAUAUAUUUGUUGACUUUGAAGAACUGGAGCUAAAAGAGAAAUGUAACUUUAAUAAAUGAAGAUAACUCAGUGACAAGAUGUAUUCUUAUUUUUGCAGAAAAUCUCUUGGUUAAGGGUAGCAACAUAUGUAUAUUGUCUUGUAACCCAAAGCAGAUCUUAUUUCCAGAUUAUGUUUCUACCCUCCGAUUAUCUACUUUUGUCAGGAUGGAAUUUAAAAGCAUAUGUCACCACACCAGAAUUCAAAAUUGGAAGCAUUUAGCUGGCAUCUUAAACACGUCUGACAUUGAAGACAUUUUCCUCCCAACUACCCACAGCUUUCAUUCAAACUCUUCUAUUAUUUGUGGACUUGUCCAUUUCCCCCAGGCUAUUGUAAAAUUUUACGGAGAGAGAAAAAUCCAGCUACCAAGAGCCAGGUACAUGCAUAAGAUAAUUCAGUCCUCAUGAGGAUGUCCUAAUAAGUAAGGUACUUAUGACUGUUUUGAAAUUUGCCAGGCUGAAAGAAUACUCACUUGCUUAUUUGAGGAAAGUAUUUCCUCACUUUUUAAAUUUUUUGGAUUCUUAAUAUAAUAUAAUGACCCAGACACAUCAAUAGUAAUACAGCCUUUUAGUGCUUAUAAUUCCAAAUUAGAGCAUGGGAUGAGUAUUUGAGUAAAGAAGCUUAGGCUGGUGUAUAUGUGUGUUUCCACAUCAGAAAAUCUAAAUUCAGAGUUUAGUAAUGUCCUCAAGGUCACAUAGCUAGUGUAGUAGGUAUAAGAUACAAAUCCUGAACUCUCUGACAUCAAAUGUGACAUGAUUUCCACUAUGAUUUGCAAGUAGAAGAGUUUCAUAUUUAUUUAUCUUUUAUUCUCCCCUUUCCUUGUCUAAAGCUAAGUGCGGAGUUUUUCAAAUAAUAAUAUUCAAUAGAUGCUACUUAUACACAAAAAACACACACCUCCAUAUUAAUAGAAAAUGGAGAGGAAGAGAAAGUAAUUGUUUUUUACAUGUUUAUUACCAGUUUGAUUUUUAACAAUUCUCCUCAUGAUAUAGAAGGCAAAGUAAUCAUAUCUCAUAUCAUUAACACUCAGGGACCUGAAAUACAGUGGUGGCUGCAUGAGAUUCAAAAAGCUUUCAUCUCAUUUAAUAAGAAUAAAUGUUAAUCUUACACACACUGGUUUAAAAAGAUCUAUGGGACCUAAAAAGAUUCAGACUAUAAGUAGUUCACCACAUUUUAACAGAGGAAAAUCAAACAAAAUACAUCCCACGUGGAGGACAAUGAUCAGUGUUACUAAAUAAAUUGGGAAUAUUCCAUCAAAGAAACUAGGGAUAUUUGCUAGGAGAAGAAAAGUCUUGGGGAAAAUAUGAAAGCCUUUCUCCAGUAUUUUAAUGUGACCAUAUGGAACAAGAAUUAAACUAACUCUAUUUGUUUUUAAAGUGGUGGGAUUCAGAUCAAAAGGUAGGACAUGGAAUAGAGCAAUUUCCUCCCAAUAUGAAACCAAGCUAUCCAAAGAUGGAAUGAAAUACCCAGGAGGUAGAAAUUUCCACACCUCUGAGAUUGGUUAUGAAAACAUUUAAAAACCUUUUGUUAGGAAUUUUAAAGAAAUGAAGUGGGCUGGGCGUGGUGGCUCAUGCCUGUAAUCCAAGCACUUUGGGAGGCCUAGGCGGGCGGAUCAUCUGAGGUCAGGAGUUUGAGACAAGCCUGACCAACAUGGAGAAACCCCAUCUCUACUAAAAAUACAAAAUUAGCUUGGCGUGGUGGCGCAUGCCUGUAAUCCCAGCUACUCGGGAGGCUGAGGCAGGGGAAUUGCUUGAAUGUAGGAGGUGGCGGAGGUUGCAGUGAGCCGAGAUUGUGCCAUUGCAUUCCAGCCUGGGCAACAAGAGUGAAACUCCAUCCCAAAAAAAAAAAAAAAAUGAAGUGAUCUUAGCAUCAGAUGGUUCUUAGAAUCCCAUUCAAUUUUUUCCCUUUCUUUUUUAAGACAAGGUCUCUCUGUUUUUCUGUUGCCCAGGCUGGAGUGCAGUGGGGCAAUCAAGGCUCACUGCAGCUUCAACCUCCCGGGCUCAAGUGAUUCUCCCAUCUCAGCCUCUCGAGUAGCUGGGACUACAGGUGAAUGCCACCACUUCAGCUGUUUUUUUUUUUUUUUUAAUUUUUUUUAUAGAGACAGGGUACCACUAUGUUGCCCAGGCUGGUCUCAAUCUCCUGGCUCAAGCGAUUCUUCUGCCUCAGCCUCCCAAAUCUUGAUUCUUACUUAAUUAUAUUCUUUCCAUUAUUGAAGGAGAAAACCAUUACUGUGGUCCUGAAAACAUUCCCCACCUCAAUUUCUGUCUGGGUUGGUUGUCUGAUAGCACAAUAAACACUUACGUAACACUUC